AUUGAACGCUGGCGGCAGGCCUAACACAUGCAAGUCGAACGAGUGGCGGACGGGUGAGUAAUGUCUGGGAAACUGCCUGAUGGAGGGGGAUAACUACUGGAAACGGUAGCUAAUACCGCAUACCAUCAGAUGUGCCCAGGUGGGAUGAGCUUGUUGGUGGGGUAACGGCUCACCAAGGCGACGAUCCCUAGCUGGUCUGAGAGGAUGACCGCCUAGACGGGAACUGAGACCCGUUCCAGACUCCUCGGGGGGGCAGCGGUGGGAAAUAUUGCACAAGGGGGGCAAGCCUGAUGCAGCACUGCCGGGGGUAUGAUGAGGGCCUUCGGGUUGUAAAGUACUUUCGGCGGGGAGGCGGUACCCGAAGAAGAAGCACCGGCUAACUCCGUGCCAGCCGCCGCGGUAAUUC
rnacentral:rRNA from 1 species